UACAGAGGUCCCAAGCGUUGUUCGGAUUCAUUGGGCGUAAAGGGUGCGUAGGCGGCGCGGUAAGUCGGGUGUGAAAUCUCGGAGCUUAACUCCGAAACUGCAUUCGAUACUGCCGUGCUUGAGGACUGGAGAGGAGACUGGAAUUCACGGUGUAGCGGUGAAAUGCGUAGAGAUCCGGAAGAACACCGGUGGCGAAGGCGGCCUGCUGGGCAGUUGCUGACACUGAGGCGCGACAGCGUGAGGAGCAAACAGG
rnacentral:rRNA from 1 species